rnacentral:rRNA from 1 species
ACACGACUACAUUAGAUACCCGGGUAGUCCUAGCCGUAAACGAUACUCGCUAGGUGUCGGCCACGGCGCGACCGUUUGUCGGUGCCGUAGGGAAGCCGUGAAGCGAGCCACCUGGGAAGUACGGCCGCAAGGCUGAAACUUAAAGGAAUUGGCGGGGGAGCACCACAACGGGUGGAGCUUGCGGUUUAAUUGGAUUCAGCGCCGGAAAUCUUACCGGGACCGACAGCAACAUGAAGGCCAGGCUGAAGACUUUGCCGGAUUAGCUG